UGAAGUGUGGUGUAGUGGUUUGAGUGUUGGACUAGGACUCUGGAGACCAGGGUUUGAUCCCCAGCUCAGCCA